rnacentral:rRNA from 1 species
GGCUCAGAGCGAACGCUGGCGGCAGGCUUAACACAUGCAAGUCGAGCGGGCGUAGCAAUACGUCAGCGGCAGACGGGUGAGUAACGCGUGGGAACGUACCUUUUGGUUCGGAACAACACAGGGAAACUUGUGCUAAUACCGGAUAAGCCCUUACGGGGAAAGAUUUAUCGCCGAAAGAUCGGCCCGCGUYUGAUUAGCUAGUUGGUGAGGUAAUGGCUCACCAAGGCGACGAUCAGUAGCUGGUYUGAGAGGAUGAUCAGCCACAUUGGGACUGAGACACGGCCCAAACUCCUACGGGAGGCAGCAGUGGGGAAUAUUGGACAAUGGGGGCAACCCUGAUCCAGCCAUGCCGCGUGAGUGAUGAAGGCCCUAGGGUUGUAAAGCUCUUUUGUGCGGGAAGAUAAUGA